GGAAUCAACAACAAACAAGUGGUCCAUGUGAUGUGGGCAGAUAAUAUUUCAUAGAAUUACACCAAAACGAGCGAGCACAUUUUCCUACGCAUAUCCUAGAGAGAGAGAGAGGAACAUUGGAACAUAUGGAAGAAUGAAGCCUGUCCAAGCUACAUCAGAGAACAUCCUGUAAAUGCUGCAGCACAGCCCAAACCAAGAGCCAGGAAGCGAAGCUUAGGGGAGGAGCUUAGAAUCAGCACCCCCCCAACAAGAAGAUUGAUAUGGGAAGCCCUGAGCUGACAAGACUCUGGAAUAUCUGCCCUGACAAUCUGGAUGCAUGCCGUGCUAAAAUCAGAGCAAACCACAACUGAGGAGUUGAAGAUGGAGGAGCCAGUUGAUGUUACAAAUGACGACUUGCUCAAGGGAGAGAAUG